GACGAACGCUGGCGGCGUGCUUAACACAUGCAAGUCGAACGGAAAGGCCCUGCUUUUGUGGGGUGCUCGAGUGGCGAACGGGUGAGUAACACGUGAGUAACCUGCCCUUGACUUUGGGAUAACUUCAGGAAACUGGGGCUAAUACCGGAUAGGAGCUCCUGCUGCAUGGUGGGGGUUGGAAAGUUUCGGCGGUUGGGGAUGGACUCGCGGCUUAUCAGCUUGUUGGUGGGGUAGUGACUUACCAAGGCUUUGACGGGUAGCCGGCCUGAGAGGGUGACCGGCCACAUUGGGACUGAGAUACGGCCCAGACUCCUACGGGAGGCAGCAGUGGGGAAUAUUGCACAAUGGGCGGAAGCCUGAUGCAGCAACGCCGCGUGCGGGAUGACGGCCUUCGGGUUGUAAACCGCUUUCGCCUGUGACGAAGCGUGAGUGACGGUAAUGGGGAAAGAAGCACCGGCUAACUACGU
rnacentral:rRNA from 1 species